rnacentral:tRNA from 1 species
CGGCGCGCAGGAUCGGUGAGGCGGGUCAGGCCCGCUCUGGUCGUACCAGGCGGCGGGUUCGAUUCCCGCCGCCUCCGC